rnacentral:rRNA from 2 species
UUAGAGGCAAACGGGUGGACCCGCAAUACGUCGACCCGGGGGAUUCAACCAGGCCGUGCGUUCGGGACGCGUGGGGGUUAUGCGGAGCUGUAAAGCCCGUGCCUUUGCGCAGGUCUCCGGGCGGACUGGUGCACUUUCCUCGGGUUGAUUGCCACGACCGGCUCUCCGUGCGGCCACAAGCCUUUGCUGGGAAGGUGACCGUCGGCCUCCGCGCCGGCGGUGUUAUAGACCAGCUUGUUCGUUGAGCUCGUCGGAGGGCCGAGGAAGUGUUGCCGUUUCUCAGCCACCCUCCGGCCAUCCUUGCUCGUCACGACUGGGGUGAACUGCUUCGUCAGUGCUCUCCCGACCGCGAGCGUAGGAAGGGCUGGUACGGUGCGAGAAAGCUUCGGGCCAGUGGCGAAUCGGUCGGUCCUCCACCCGACCCGUCUUGAA